AAACUAACAGAAGUACAGAACAGAGAUGCAUUAAUAUUAUAUUUCUUCAGUAGACUAAAAGAGGGAGCCAAGUUUAGAGACUUAGACUUAGAGUUAGAUAGACAGUGAGACGGCGAGAGUCGCGAGACAGACAGUGAGAGCCGAGAGGCGGAGGUCUCGCCGGAGAUUGAGACGGGGAGAGAUGAACGCCGCACUGGAGAUUGAGACUGUUGAGUAGUGGAGACUCGAGAGUCGAGAGGCAAGACUGCAAGAGGCUGAGGAGUG
rnacentral:lncRNA from 1 species